rnacentral:rRNA from 1 species
GACGAACGCUGGCGGCGUGCCUAAUACAUGCAAGUCGAACGCAGUGGGGACGGGUGCGUAACACGUGGGUAACCUCCCCUCAGAGGGGAUAACACUUGGAAACAGGUGCUAAACCGAUACUGAUGGAUGGACUCGCGGUGCAUUAGCUAGUUGGUGAGGUAACGGCUCACCAAGGCCACGAUGCAUAGCCGACCGGAGAGGGGUAACGGCCACCCGUGGACAGGGACACGGCCCAAGCUCCUACGGGAGGCAGCAGGAGGGAAUCUUUGGCAAUGGACGAAAGUCUGACCGAGCAACGCCGCGUGAGUGAAGAAGGUUCUCGGAUCGUAAAACUAUGUUGUUAGAGAAGCGGUAUCUAACCAGAAAGCCACGGCUAACUACGUGCCAGCAGGCGCGGUUAAUUC